AUCCGCUAGUUCUGGUGUACGUACGUUCGGUUUGACGCGUCAACGACCUUGAACUGUUGUCGAUCAGUGACAAUUUUAAUUGGUUCGAUGAUAUUUUGAUGAUUUUAUUGAUACCAUUUAUUAUUUGGUUAGUUUUAUGGUAUUUAGUCGGUAGUGGUUACGUAUCCGAUACACGUGACUAUUAUGACGAACGUAAAUAAAAUAAGGGUGGUUGUUUUGGGGAGUUCCAGAGUCGGAAAAUCAGCUGUGACUGUUCGAUACUUAACCAAGAGAUAUAUAGGAGAAUACAGUUCAACCAGUGAUUUUCUCUAUCGACAUAAUGUGACGUUCGACAACGUAACUACCGAAGUAGAAAUUUUGGAUACAUCAAAAUGUGCUAAAAAUGGUUGCCUCUACGAACACAUACGUUGGGGGGAAGCGUUCGUUAUAGUUUAUUCUGUAACGGAUAAGCACAGUUUCCACGAAGCUCAAGAAAUAUUGGGACAACUGGUGAAAUUGAAGCUGCCGUCAUAUUAUACAAGCCUACUUUUAGGUAAUAAAAGAGAUUUGGACCAUUCUAGACAAAUAUGCGUGGACGACGGUCAGGAACUGUCCCUGCAGUACGGUUGUCAAUUUUACGAAGUCAGCGCCGCGGAAAAUUUCGCCGGAGUUUCCUUAGCUUUCCAAUCUUUACUUAGGGAAGCUAGAUCGGUACAGCUGUUGAAAGCUCUACCGAUCAGGAGGAAACUAGGGGUAAACAGCGUUUCGAAGGUUUUGGGUAAUAUUUUCGGUAAAAAUUCGAAAGGGGAUCGCAAGAAAAGACCCUCUUUGAGCAUAUAAAUUAAUUUAGGAUUGUGUGUAAUUAUUUUUCUUGAUAGUUCCUUAUUUAUUUAAGAAAUAAGUUUAGAAAAAAACGUAUGUGAUAGCAGGCAAUUACCAUUCACUAUUUGUUUUGCUAUAUAUUGUAUUAUAUAAGACUGACAACUAUAUUAUUAAUCGAUGGUAGAAAAAUAUCAAUAAAUAUAUUUUUUUAUCGAUUUACAUCCCUAUACAAAAUAUAUGAAUGCGCAGAAAAAAAUAAUAAAAAAAAUUCGUAAUAACUUCCCUAACCUAAAACCGAAUUAUUGAUUUCUUUACACGAGUUAUUGAAAUAGUUCCAAUCCUAGAGUAACGUCUCACCCUGUAUGUUAAAACGUUAUUAGAAAAAAUAGUUUUUGGUGAACGAAUUUCAUCUUUCAAUUUUCAUUUUUAAUUGUAGUUUUCCAUAGAAAUUGUUUCGUUUCAGAUUUCUUUUUUUUAAAUCUUUUUUAAUUGCCACAAUAUCAUCUGAUAUACCUCUAUUAUUCUCCUUCGUCUAUGGUCAAAUAAUAUAAUAUAAAUUUGAAGACGGUAAUCAAAAUACUUUUUAUCAUCUCCCGACGUCAUUCUAGUUGAAUUUACCCCUUUUAAUCUUUAUUUUUCAAUAUAUUCUUUCAUUCUAGUCCGUUCGCUUCAGUUUUCUUCUUUUUUAUUUCUAUUUUUUUUUCUUAUCACUGAUACAAUCAUGAAUUGCCACAGUAUCAUUUGAUUCGAGAGCUUUCUCACAUUGUCUAUUACCAAAUAACUUUAAAGACUAUAUUCAAAAUAUUUUUUAAUCAAUCUUCAACGUCAAUUCUGCUAAAUUUUCCUCUCUUUAAUAUAUUCUUCAAUUUCAAAUUACUUCUUUAUUAUAUCUUUACGAUCCUAGGUUUAUUUCAUUCCGUUUAUGGAUAACUUUGGUAUCACUGACAACUGUCAAUUGUCAAAUAAAAAUUGACACCAAAACAAAGUAUAUAUAAUAUUUACAGACGUUAUUAAUGUUUGUAAAUCGAAAAUUUGGUGAUAUAAUCACCGACGAAGUGAUUUACGAUGUGUGCAAAUAGGGAGUAAAGCAUAUGCUGUAUUAUUUACACUGAGCCCCCCAAAGUUAACAUGAUGACUGCCAACUACAAAAUAACUUAUAAUUUAUCAUCCCCCCUAAUGCAACUUUUCUAAAAAGCCUAAAUUUUGAAUUAUAACUUUGUAAAUUUAAUGAUUUAAAUGAUUAAAUAAAACUGUAGAAAUAUUCUUGGCAAUCAAUGUGUUAAAGAUGGGACUUGUAAUAAGAGAAUUUACGCAAGAAAUAAUCAAAAUAUCGGACAUGAAGGAACUGAAAACAAAAAAACUGAUGGAUUGACAAUAUUUAGAAGUAACAUUUAUUAGAUGACGAAUUAUAGGCUGGAUGGAUGAAAGAGAACAAAACUCACGAUACCACUUAUCAAAUAGAUGGAUUUGUAGGAAAAGAAGAUUUUCGUCCCUUUUCAGACAUAGCAUAGGCAUUAGAUGCCUAUAAGAAACAAAUUGUUAGAACUGAAGAUACAAACUUGUUUUUUGAUUUAGGUUUCCAGUUCCUUUUCUUACAAUGUUGGAAAUCUACAUGUCGAAAGUGCUAUUAGAUUUUACAAGAAGAAAAAGAGCUUAUGCAGUUUGAAGAAAUCCAUUGAAUUUACUAUUUAUACCUCAAAAAUAUCCAGUUUUAACAUAUCGUUUAGUAAGCAGAAACAAAUGGAAGUAAGAGAUGGUAGAAGUACAAUACAACGUAAAUCUGUUAGUGAACAGGUUUCUUUAAAGAAUCUUUGGAGAUGUCCUUAGAUCUAGUUUGGAACAUGUAAUUACCUGGCAUAUUGAUGAUUGGGUAAAAUUGAUAAAUGAAUUUCAAAGUUUGAACUAUAUGAAGAAUCAGUAUUCAGUGACAGGAAACGUUCCAGUUGGCAGAUCCUGUUUAAGGAAGAUACCUGGGCCUAUUGAUAUAGAUUAGAACAACUUGAUGGUACCAAGGAACAACCAGAAGAAAUCAAAUGAAGAUGUCUAGUAGUAGAGUCGCAUCAGGACAAAUUGUGUUAAGAAUGGAAAUGUCUAAAUAUUCAAUCUUUUAGAUAAUAUUUGUUUACUUUUAUUGGUACUCCCUGUUACAUGUUUUAUAACUUGUUAAAUUAUAGUCAGGACUUUUUGAAUACUAUUUUAUUAAUGAAACAUAUAUCAUUUACAAGAUCAAAGAUAAGCGCAAGAGUGCCACUGACGUUUCUACUUGACGUCCGUUCUGCUGCCACCUAGUGGUCAUGUGUUGUUGAUACAGGAGACCAUACACUAGCCAUCUAAUGCUAUCUUAUGUAACAUCUCCCCUUUUAUAAAAGCAACUUAACACUUAUAAAUAAAUGAAAAUUCGAACUAAAAGAAAACGACUAUAUACUAGACAUUAUUAGAACAGGAAACAUAUAACUUACACUUUAACUGUUAUUGUUAAUAAGACAUAAAAAUUGCUUAUUCUCUAAAUCUCAAAGGCUUAUUUACAUAUCGUCCUGAUCGAGUUAUAUAAAUGUCACUUCCUGUAGUACUGUCUUUGGCAGAAAUAGAACGUUCCACACUAUUAUUAUGUUCACUGUCAUCAGUUGACAUUGAUUUUCUACCAUUAGCACUAUCACUUGACUCCUUAACACUAGGUACAUUAUUUGAUGUUGAAGUUUGCAAAUUAUUGUCUGUAGAAUCAAAACAAGAGUGUCUAAGAGAUACUGGAUUAGGGUUAUUCUUUAAAAAUGAUGAAUUUAUUCGUACCACUCUGUCUAGAUUUUCCUUAACUAAGUAUGAACGUGGAGUAGAAUGUUUGUCUACUACUUCACCCGGUACCCAGUAACCAUCCUUAUUUAUCAUUAUAUGUUGACCCUUUUCAAAUGAAUCUCGAUGUUUUGCUCCCCUGUCAUGAUAUUUUUUAGGUCUAGAUCUUUUCUCACAAAUUUUUUUCUGAUUAACGUAUGGUAACUCUGUUAGCAGUUUUUUAGAAACGGGUAAUGUUGUUCUUUGUAAACGAUUGUUUAGAAGUUCUCAUGGUGAAACACCAAGACCUGUCAAUGGAGAAGUUCUGUACUCAAGUAGUGCUUGAUAAAUAUCAUUUCCAGAAUUACUACAUUUUUUAAGAAUGUCUUUACAGAUGGCAACAGAUCUCUCAGCAAGUCCGUUGGACUUGGGAUAUCGUGGACUUGUGGUGAUUGAGGUAAACUCCCAACUUUUGGCAAAUUCUUUGAACUCUUUGCUGUUAAAUGGAAUGUUGUCUAAGAUGAUACUAGAAGGAACGCCAUGGGUAGCAAAGAUACACUUUAAUUUCAAAACGAUUUCUGACGCAGUUUUACUAUCCAAGGGAACUAAUUCAAGCCAGUUACUGUAAUUAUUCAUUACUGAUAAAAAAUCUUUACCUGCAUAAGUUAAGAUAUCUGCUGCUACUUUAAGAAAUGGGACAUUUGGUCUUUCAUGUUGCAUUAGUGGCUCUUUUACUAGUAGUUAUUUUCGAUACUAAAUUCUUGAUUCUUGAAAAUAUAAGAGACAGAUCUUUUGUCCAGUUAAACUCUACAUUAUUUUUAAUAAGGUUUCUUAAUGGAAAUAGUAGCUCAGACAACUUGGGUAAGAAUUUUGAGAGAUAAUUUAACAUACCCAGUAUCCUUAGGAGCUCUUUUUUGUUAGUUGGAUCUUCAAGCUCCAAAAUGGCUUUUACACAAUCUGGAUCUGGCUGAACUCCUUCAGCAGAAAAUAUUUGACCUACAUAAGCGACUUAUGAAACUUUAAAUUGUACUUUUGAUCUGUUGAACUUUAUACCAAAUUUUUUGGCUCUACUAAUAACUUCCUUGAGGAUCUCAUCAUGUUCUUUCUCAUCUACUCCCCCAAUUAUAAUAUCAUCAAAAUAUAUUCCUAUUGGCAAAUCACCAAAAAUUUUCUCAUUAAUCCUUUGGAAAACUUCUGGACUAACAUUAAGGCCAAAUGGUAAUCGAUUGAAAACAUAUUUUCCAAAAGGAGUAAUGCAUGUACACAACUUUCUACUCUCCUUAUCAAGAGGAACAUGAUAAAACCCUUCUUUUAAAUCUAACACAGUAAAAAUAUUUUUAUCUUUUAACUUUAAACUAAGUUCCUCAACAGUAGGGAUCGGAUGUUGAUCUAAGCAGACAUAUUUGUUUAAAUGUAAUUGAUCUAGGCAUAUCCUUAAUGCUCCUGUUGGUUUUUGUAUAAUCACAAUAUUAUUGACCCAUUCUGUUGGUUGUUCUAUCUUGAAAAUUAUAUCCCUGUUUUCAAGAUCAUCUAGUGCCUUCUUUAAUUUUGGUUUUUUUGUUUCUGGUACCCUUCUGCAGUUACUAGAAUAUGGAACUGCAUUUUGUUUUAGUACUAUCUUGUAUUUGUAUGGUACUUUUCCAGUACCCUCAAAAACCUCAGAAUUUUUUGUUAAAAAUUAUUUUUAUUAUUAACUUCACUAACUUGUUUUAUUAAUUCAAGCUUGAAACAGUUGUUUAAUCCCAAGAUAGGCAUACUGUCACAAUCAACAACAAUAAAUUUAAUUUUAAAAAAUUUUCUUCUUACCAUACAAUCUAAUAUUACAUACCCUGUAGCUUUUAUUUUAUUAAUACCGUAUGUAUUCAACGAUAGUCUAUUUUUUACCAUUUUAUUCUCUGCUCCUAUCUUCCUAGCAUACUUUAUGGGCAAACAGUUACAAUUCGCACCCUAUCUAUCUUAAAAGUGAUGAACUCGUUAUCUAUUAAUACAUUCUCAGUCCAAAUAUCUUUAUUCUUAUUCUUAAACUUCACCUGGUCAAGUGUCACUGAAUCUAAAUAUGGUGUGUCUGAUUCUCCCUCGUUACUGCUAUUCUCGGACCCACUCUUCUCAACCUCAUGCAUUUUCUUCUUAGUUCUAAUCUUUUCCUUACCUUUAAAUUGCUGCCUACUUUUGCAGCCCACUGCGAAAUGAUUUGGCUUUUUACAUACUGAACAGGUCUUCCCGAAGGCAGAACAGUUUCUGGGACCAUAUUUUGUCUUGCAUUUGAAGCACUCGUAUGCACUGCUACUGCUAUAAGAUUGAUGAUGCUUCUUGACUGCAUCCACUUGUGUUGCAUUCCCUCUUAUAUUCUGAACUUGCUUUUUACGUGCUUCUGAGGAUCUACAUAUGUUUUCUGCCUGACUAAGAGUCAAAUUUUUCACUCUGAAGAGCCUUUCUUGUACCUCUUCAUCUAAUAUACCAGCUACUAUUCUAUCUCUUACCAGAGAAUCAUGCAAUGUUGCGAACUUGCAUGGCUUUGCUAUUUUUUUUAUUACCGUAAGAAAGUUAUCAAAGUUCUCCCCUUCUUGCUCACAGCGCGUGUUAAACUUAAAUCUAUCAAAUGUCUCAUUUUCAAAGGGCAUGCAGUGAUUUUCAAACUUUUCUAUGACCUUGUCAUAUUUUUCUUCAUCUCCAACAUUAUCAAAUUUAAAGGUUUGAAAUACCUCUUGAGCAUCUUCACCAACAAUAUUCAAAAAUAUAGCGAUCUUCAUUUCAUCAUCUUUACUGUAAUAGCCAGAUGCUUUCAUGUAUAUUUUGAAACUUCAUGAAUUUUGUAAAAUUUUGACUUGUAUUUUGAUCAAACACUAAAGCUUUUGGUGGCUUAAAUGUUGACAUUUUCUUUUUAUAAUUAUUAAAUUACUGCUCUACGUGAAAUCUUCGCGUUUCUACUCGGUCUCGGCAAGCUUCUAUCAGGGUGUGGCAGAGUUCAUUGACCUCUAGCUACUGUUAUUCAUUUGUGUCUUAUUUCAAUAUAGUCUUAUUUCCACCUUUUAUCUUCUUAGCAUGAUUUCACCAUGUUACAUGUUUUAUAACUUGUUAAAUUAUAGUCAGGACUUUUUGAAUACUAUUUUAUUAAUGAAAUAUAUAUCAUUUACAAGAUCAAAGAUAAGCGCAGGAGCGCCACUGACGUUUCUACUUGACGUCCGUUCUGCUGCCAUCUAGUGGUCAUGUGUAGUUGAUAUAGGAGACCAUACACUAGCCAUCUAAUGCUAUCUUAUGUAACACUCCCUGUAUAAAACAUUGUAUAUUGGCACUUAUAAUUUGUGCACUACAUGUUGUGUGAUCAUGAUAUAUUUUGUUAAAUAAAAUUUAAUAUUGGAAA